UCUUCAUCAACAUGACCUUCAUCAUCAUCUUCAUCUGGACUCUCACAGCGUUUGCUCAAGAGUGUAGAGGACAGAUCAGCGUCACUCAGAGUCCCUCAACGACAGCAGCUCAACCAGGAGAAACAGUGAAGAUCAGCUGUAGAACCAGCACAGAUGUGCUUGAACGUAGUGCACCACGUUACUAUUUUAGCUGGUACUUACAGAAACCUGGAGAAGCUCCUAAACUCCUGAUUUAUUAUACGAUAGACCGUUACACUGGAACUCCAUCUAGAUUCAGUGGAACGAGUUCAUCUGCAACUGAUUUCACUUUGACCAUCAGUGGAGUCCAGACUGAAGAUGCUGGACAUUAUUACUGUCUGAGUUACCACUACAUCAACAGUGGUGGUGUGUUCACACAGUGA